ACCAUGAACGGCCACAAUCAAUUGAGUUUUUUUUUAUAGAAAUGAAGAUAAGUUAGAAAAUACGACCCACUCGGCAGCUAGUGAACCACGUCUUCUAGCUUUGCGGGUGUGCUAUGAUUCCCAAAGUACACUCGACCAUUUUUUUUUUAUCAAAAGGGCUUUUCUGCCCCUGUUCCAUUCAUCUUUUCGUUAAACGGAACAUCAUAUAUAGUUCAUCUGCCUCAGCAGGGAGUACGAUAACGCAUCUCGGCCGAAGGGCCCUAAUGGCGGCACAGGUUUAAACCAACUCCCAUUACAUGACAUGGCAUUACAGCCGUCAGCGCAAUCAAGCCAAGUUG
rnacentral:lncRNA from 1 species